GGGAUAUUUUUUUCCCUAGCAUCCCACGUACCCCACCCCUAAAGUCAAUUUGACUUAUCUUUAUUUUGCUGCAUCUGAAGUCCAGCAACUCACUUUCCUCUUUCUCUACUCCUUUCUCCCCUUUCUUUGUUCUUCUUUCCUCUUCCCUUCUUACACGGCAACAUCUCUCUCUUCCUUUCUCACCAAAAAUUCUAGUUUCUUUAAAGAUAAAUUAAACAAUUAGCCUUAAGGUUUCAUCUUCAAAGUGUGUGGGUGUUACCAGUAUCCAAGUCUAAGCUCCUUCAACUUUAGGCUUUCGGUUCCUCUACUUUCAGGUAAGGGAUAAGUUAUAUGAGCAUUUGGUAAGUCAUAAGGUUAUUUUAAAGUAUAUUAUGCAUUAAAAUGUUUUUGAUUAGAGAUAUGACAUGUAAUCAUUAUUCUGACAAAAAUAUGUUCGUGAGCUUUUGAAACCUUAUGUAUAUGAUUUUAGCAUAUUAAUGCUAUUACUGAUUCCGCGAACAUGAUGUUUAAAGAAAAGAAUGAAAAUGCUAUUAUCAUGAAAUGUCAUGCAAAACAAGAAAUUUCAGUAUGAUGUAAGAUAUGAAAUGUUUUCAGGUUAUGUCUUCUGGUAAUCUGAACUCAGCCAGUAGGGGUUAAUUAUUGGCUUUCCAUGGAAAAAAAAAAAUGUUAUCUGUUUGGUCAUUUAAAGUAGAGGAAAUGGGGUUGCCCGUAACUCUAAUCUGAAUAAGGCCUUCUCCCCAAUGUGUACGGAUGGUGGGGAGGAACAAAAUCUGGAGGGGAUGUGCCAUCAGGCCUCCUAAAGGGGACAAUAUCAUACACACGGGGGCACCCAAAUGUGAUGAGACCUUCUCUGUACAGCUUAUCAGAUAUGGACUAACCAAUAUGAUAUGAACAGCUAUGUUAUGUUAUUAAUCAUGAGAGAAUUAUUUUGUUUAAAUACAUUAUGAAAAGUUAAAAGCUCUCAUGAAAAUAAGAAGUUUCUGAUGAAAAGAAAGCUGUUCAUUAAAGAUAAAAGUUUAUGAAGUUCUAUUGUGCUAUAAAGAUAAAGUUUCUGAUGAAAGUACAAGUUUAUGUUUAAAAGUUAUCAGAUAUCUAUUUUUAUGAAACGUUAAGUUUUAUGAUCAUGAAAGUUAUAGUAUUCUAUGAAAAGAAGUUUAUAAAGAAAAGUUUUCUUAUCAGUCAAGAUGUUUCUAGUUUAAUACAAAGUUGCCGAUUAUCUGAUUUAAGUUAAAAUAAUUAUUUUGUAAUGAGAAUAUAUAUAUAUGGUGACUUUGUAGGAAAUGAAAGAAAUUUAAUCCGAAAGGUUUGGUAAUGUUAACCUAAUAAGAAAAGGAGAACAAUUGUUUUCUAUGAAGAGCGUAUAAGUUAUUAUUAUGAAUAGUAUUAAAUACUAUGCAUGAAAAGAUGUUCUCCUAUUCGAAUAUUCAUAGAAUGAAAUGAUCUGAUUUACAUGCAUCCUUAUUGAAUUCUUGUAUAUCUUACCUUUACUGAACUGUGUAGCUCACCCCUUCCACUCUUUCAGUUAGCAGGUUUUAUUUUGGAGCAGAGGGAGUCUUAGUCGAGUUUGGAAGGAGCUGAUUUUAGUUUUAUAUGUAUAGAUCCUAAACUAGCAUUCUGACGUUUAGCGUUAUAGUUGUUGUGUAUUCUAGGAUCAAAUGAAAGUUGUGUACCUGAAAGUAUUAAAAGAUAUAUUAUGUAAGGAUGGAAAUCAAAUGACUGGUGGAUUAUGUUA